ACACAAGAACCCUGUAUUUCAGUUUCCCAACAGUUGUGUGUUUUUCAUCCUCUACAUAUCUUAGAAGUCACCCAGGACCUCCACACCUUUAAUGUUAUUCAACUCCAUCCAAAUUCAAAUGGAGAUCCAGCUCCAACUUUUGUAAAAAAAACAAAAAACAUCUGUCUCUGCCUCAAAACCUGCAUACGGGGUUGUGGAGGGAAGCUGCAAUUCUUUCAUGGAGACCCAAGAC